rnacentral:rRNA from 1 species
AGAGUUUGAUCAUGGCUCAGAAUCAACGCUGGCGGCGUGCCUCAGACAUGCAAGUCGAGCGAUUAAGACUCCCUUCGGGGAGUGCAUAAAGUGGCGCACGGGUGAGUAACACGUAGGUAAUGUACUUUGGGUGGGGAAUAACUUAGGGAAACUUAAGCUAAUACCGCAUAAUGCAGCGGCUCGACAUCGAGACAGUUGUUAAAGAUUUAUCGCCUAAAGAGCAGCCUGCGGCAGAUUAGCUAGUUGGUAAGGUAAUGGCUUACCAAGGCUACGAUCUGUAACCGACCUGAGAGGGUGGUCGGUCACACUGACACUGAAUAACGGGUCAGACUCCUACGGGAGGCAGCAGUCGGGAAUUUUGGGCAAUGGGCGCAAGCCUGACCCAGCAACGCCGCGUGAAGGAUGAAGUAUUUCGGUAUGUAAACUUCGUAAGAAUGGGAAGAAUAAAUGACGGUACCAUUUGUAAGGUCCGGCUAACUACGUGCCAGCAGCCGCGGUAAUACGUAGGGACCAAGCGUUGUUCGGAUUUACUGGGCGUAAAGGGCGCGUAGGCGGCGUGGUAAGUCAGCUGUGAAAUCUCCGAGCUUAACUCGGAACGGUCAGCUGAUACUGCUGUGCUAGAGUACAGAAAGGGCAAUCGGAAUUCUUGGUGUAGCGGUGAAAUGCGUAGAUAUCAAGAGGAACACCUGAGGCGAGGCGGG